rnacentral:snoRNA from 1 species
CCCCUCUCAGGGUCCCACUUGGAGAGUUUCCAGUACUCUACCAGUCUCGACAACAGGAGUGAGAGUCAAGCAGAGGCCUGUCCAUUCCAUUCCUAGCUUGGACAGUGGCUAGUGAGUGGCAGGCAAUCUGCUACAAAU